rnacentral:rRNA from 1 species
UACGGAAGGCAGCAGUGGGGAAUAUUGCACAAUGGGCGCAAGCCUGAUGCAGCCAUGCCGCGUGUAUGAAAAAGGCCUUCGGGUUGUAAAGUACUUUCAGUCGUGAGGAAGGUGUUAAGGUUAAUAACCUUAGCAAUUGACGUUAGCGACAGAAGAAGCACCGGCUAACUCCGUGCCAGCAGCCGCGGUAAUACGGAGGGUGCGAGCGUUAAUCGGAAUUACUGGGCGUAAAGGGCACGCAGGCGGUUAAUUAAGUUGGAUGUGAAAUCCCCGGGCUUAACCUGGGAAUGGCAUUCAAGACUGGUUAGCUAGAGUCUUGUAGAGGGGGUAGAAUUCCAUGUGUAGCGGUGAAAUGCGUAGAGAUGUGGAGGAAUACCGGUGGCGAAGGCGGCCCCUGGACAAAGACUGACGCUCAUGUGCGAAAGCGUGGGGGGCAAACAGGGAUUAGAUACC